GCUUAUGGCCACACCACCUUCGGAACGCCCGAUCUCGUCUGAUCUCGGAAGCUAAGCAGGGUCGGGCGUGGUUAGUACUUGGAUGGGUGACCGCUUGGGAAUACCAGGUGCUGUAAGCA
ensembl:rRNA 5S_rRNA 5S ribosomal RNA